rnacentral:rRNA from 1 species
UAAUGGCAGGUCAGCAUACUGCCGUGAAUACGUUCCCGGGCCUUGUACACACCGCCCGUCACACCAUGAGAGUUGGGAAUACCCGAAGCCUGUGAGCUAACUUUUUAAGGGGCAGCAGUCGAAGGUAGAAUCAAUGAUUGGGGUGAAGUCGUAACAAGGUAGC